rnacentral:misc_RNA from 1 species
UCUCCGUUGGUGAACCAGCGGAGGGAUCAUUACAGAGUUGCAGAACUCCCAAACCAUUGUGAACGUUACCUAUCCCGUUGCUUCGGCGGGCGGCCCGGGCCCCGCGCCCGGCGCCCCCCCGGCCCCCCGUGGGCGCCCGCCGGAGGUAAACCAAACCCUUGAAUUGCAUGGUCUCUCUGAGUCUUCUGUACUGAAUAAGUCAAAACUUUCAACAACGGAUCUCUUGGUUCUG